rnacentral:lncRNA from 1 species
UUUCAAAUUGACUGGGACGCCCACAGAUAUCUGUGUAUCCUGAUCAAUAAAAAUCCUCUUGCAGAUUGCAGCCUGUGGACUCGGACUGGUCAUUGGGGCUUGAGGAUCUCCCUCCUGAGGGAAGAUUCUCUCUGAGAGUCUUACAUAUGGGGGCUCGUCCGGGAUCGGAGAUCCUCUGCCUAGAGACCACCGACCACCCACCGGGAGGUUAGAGACUACAGCUACACUGAGCCCAGACACUCGAGCCUCGCUGGAAAGGACCGUACCUGGUGCUGCUGACCACCCAUCACUUGAUGCUGACAGCCAUCAAGUCUCAGCCCUCACCAGCAGCGUACUAGCUGUUGGGGCUGAGAGCUGGGACCUAGAGGGACACUCAGAUCUUCAAAAACCUCCCUAGACUUAAGUGAUUGGGAGGUUGCUAUAAUGCUCAUUUGAGGAGUGUGUUUUAGAAACAAGAAUUUCAUGUUUGCCUGUUUGCCCUGGGUUCCCACGGAAUAGGUGUAAGGAUAGGCUUGAUUUUUAUUGCAAAUGAUGUAAUAUUACAUAUGUUAGUACUCCUAACACUUCUUGGGACUGUACCUCAGGGAUCACAAUCUGUAUAAGUUUAGAAGUUCUAAAAGACCUUGGUGUAUAGGUUCAGAUAGUGUCCAGAUUAGAAUCCUCAUGCUAAAGACUUAAUAAGACACAAAAGAUGAGAAUUAUUUAAGGCUAUCUAGGUGCUACAAGGGCAGCACAAGGACAUCUGCUGUUGCCCUACAAUGCAAGGCUUAUAGAGAAUUCAGAACUGCCAUUGACUCAGAUAUAAAAAAAAAUAAAAAAGACUUUUUAGCUGACCUCCAAGAACACCUAACCUCCCUCUCAGAGGUAGUCCUUCAAAAUAGGAAAAGAUUAGACCUGAUAUUCCUUAAAGAAAGAGUCUGUGUGCUACACUAAAAGAAGAAUGUUGUUUCUAUACAGAUCAGACAGGAAUAAUAAGAGAUAUAGUCUUUCAGUUAUUCAAACUUUUGUGCUGAGACAACAGUAUCAGAUGGUGAAACAACAAAAAACAGAGGUACCUUAACCAAGUUGAGUGGAAGAUUCCACUCAAGGACAAAAAAGAAAAUGGGGGAAUGAAAGACCCCCUCCCAGAAAGGGAAUUGUACAAGCCCAAGGCCCUCAACUAUAGAAGUAAAAAGUAAGUUUUUAGAUAUGUGGGACAAGCUGACCCAUCAUUUAGACGAAACAGACCAGAAAAGAAAACAAAAUGCAGAAACCAGACUAAAUUAUGGGCACUGCUCCAUGG